GACGAACGCUGGCGGCGUGCUUAACACAUGCAAGUCGAACGGAAAGGCCCUGCUUUUGUGGGGUGCUCGAGUGGCGAACGGGUGAGUAACACGUGAGUAACCUGCCCUUGACUUUGGGAUAACUUCAGGAAACUGGUGCUAAUACCGGAUAGGAGCUCCUGCUGCAUGGUGGGGGUUGGAACGUUUCGGCGGUUGGGGAUGGACUCGCGGCUUAUCAGCUUGUUGGUGGGGUAGUGGCUUACCGAGGCUUUGACGGGUAGCCGGCCUGAGAGGGUGACCGGCCACAUUGGGGCUGAGAUACGGCCCAGACUCCUACGGGAGGCAGCAGUGGGGAAUAUUGCACAAUGGGCGGAAGCCUGAUGCAGCAACGCCGCGUGCGGGAUGACGGCCUUCGGGUUGUAAACCGCUUUCGCCUGUGACGAAGCGUGAGUGACGGUAAUGGGUAAAGAAGCACCGGCUAACUACGUG
rnacentral:rRNA from 1 species